UGACCACAGCAAAGAGACACAGAAAACUCAGUUGCUUUGUUGUUAUCUAGAUGUCACUGAACUUCCAUUCCCAGCAUAUCGGUCAGAUCAUUGUUCAAAUUGGCAUAUGCUGCUGCACUGAGAAAUAAAUUGACUGAAAAAUCAAAGGCUACAAUUUUUUGCACAGAGGUCCCCUGCAGAUCUCCACAGCAUCUUCAGCAUAGUCUGGUGUGGUGAUGUGCCAUCAUCCAAAUUCCACAUAAUUGUGUCAGACAGCAGGGCGCAAGUAUGUUCAGAACCACCAUGAAAGAUGGAAAGAUGGGAUGGGAACACAACACCUUUU